UGAGCAAUCUGCCCUUCUCAUCGGAAUAAGCGUUGGAAACGACGUCUAAUGCCGAAUACGACCUCCUUUCGCAUGAUCGGAGGUGGAAAGCUCCGGCGGAGAAGGAUGAGCUCGCGGCCUAUCAGCUAGUUGGUGUGGGUAAUGGCCCACCAAGGCGACGACGGGUAGCCGGCCUGAGAGGGUGACCGGCCACACUGGGACUGAGACACGGCCCAGACCUCCUACGGAGGCGACG
rnacentral:rRNA from 1 species